rnacentral:lncRNA from 8 species
AUGUCUGGAAUAAACGUAAAGAUGGCGAAAAAGAGUAGUUCCAAAAAGUCAUUCAAAAGCUUGUUUUCUAAAAGCGAAGCCAAAUUGACUGUGGAGAAGGAGAAAGAUGACCGUGGAGGGAAAAAGUUCCAACUCUUCAAAUUCAAGAAAAAUACCAAACACGGCAAAGAUGAAGAGAAGCAAGUGGACUUCAGUGCUGAUGAGACCAAUGGAUCUGGUGGUGAUGCCCCGGGGAGGGAUGCUGAAGGCUGGCCUGAUGUUAGUCACACCAAGAAGUCCAGAUCUCUGACUGCUCCCAGGUCAAAGGUCAGUUGGGGUCCUUGAUCCCCGUCAGUCCUUUUGGAGAUAACUGGGAACGUGGCGUGCUCCAGGACUGGGUACAAAUACUAAUCCAAUAACUUUCACAUACAUUUCAAAGUAUGUGUUUUAAUAUUUUUUUUAUUUGAAAAUGGAGGUAUUGGAAUAUACUGUAUUUAGAAAUACACUUUGAAAGUAUUGUCAUGCAUUUGAAAAUACAAAUAUUUAAAAUACCAAUGCAUUUGAACCCAGGUCAGUUUUUUUUUAUUUUUAUUAAUACCUUUUAUUUAUACAGGUUUUUCUCAUUGAGAUAACAUCUCUUUUCCAAGAGAGACCUGGUCCAAUAGCAGCAGGGGGACCAACGUUUCAGACAAAACAACUUACAUACACUAACACAACAUUAAACAAAACUAUAAACACACAUACAGUACAACAAAAACAUCCAUUUGGUCUUAGUGGUAUGUAUUUGGAAACAGUUUCAAAUAGUAGGCUAUAUAAAAUAUUUUACGAAAGUAACUUUCUAGUGCUGAGCGAUUUUAACUGACAUUUCAUUUUUUUUAAUCAGUUAUUAAACAACUAUUUGACAGAUGUCGGUUCAAUUGCUUGAAUUCCAUUUAGUUUGGGGGUUUUUUGUGAGCCAAUGCCCUGUUUAUCUAGAGAGAAAUCUAAUAAUUCACAAGAGAAAUCAAGUCAAGAACUAUGUGGGAUGCUGGGCUGAAGGGGAGUUGUAGUUUUCAUUAAGCAAAUAUUCAACCUUGUUCAGCGCAGAAACUUGGUAAUUAACUACAAUGUCCAUAAUCCAAUGUGGAUUUUUCCGGCUCAGACAGAGACGGAUCAGAGGAUGAGGCGAUACGAGAGGUUUCACUCUCACCAAGAUCAUUCUAAAAACAACCCCAAUACGUUUCUUCCCACCUUUGGGACAAUGACUCCCAUUGUUAGGGCAGAGACAUGAGCGUCUCGUCAUUAUAUACAGAUCUCUGGAUGGAUACACUUUUACGCUUGAGAGAGGAAUGUACACAACCAUGAGGGGGACAUAAACAGUAUGUGAAAGUAUGCCUUAUCUGCUUUGAAGAAUUUGUAAAAUGAUUUUGUCAGACAGCUCUGCAGCAUACUAGCUAAAUAGGAUGACUGAAAACCGUAUAGUAUGGAGAGCACAAAAUGUUAGAUGGGCUGGCUGGCUGGCUGCUACUGCCUGAACAGAGAUGAUUACUUUAAGGAAUCAAAAAUAAUAAAGUCAUCAAAUAAAAACAAACUGAAAUAUACACAACUGAAAUAUGUUAUUAUUUCAUAGUCAUUUCCUAUUUUUUUCUAUUGACGUCUACCCAAUGUGUACCUGACAGACAAUGGAAUAUGAUUUAGCAAUGGGAUGUUCAACAUUUUUGGCUUUUUGGAAUUGCCAUUAAAAAGCUCUAAAAUCAUUGUACUGUCAUUAUUUCAUAAUGUAUUUCAUGUUUAAAAAAAUGUUCAACUGAAAACCGUGAUUAUUUUUUAAUUAACAAACCCGAACCUAACUGCUAAAUCAAAUUUUAUUGGUCACACACAUAUUUAGAAGAUGUUAUUGCGGUUGUAGCGAAAUGCUUGUGUUCCUAGUUCCAACAGUGCAGUAGUAUCUAACAAUUCACAACAAUAUACACAUCUAAAAGUAAAAUAAUGGAAUUAAGAAAUAUAUAAAUAUUAGCACGAGCAAUGUCGGAGUGGCAUUGACUAAAAUACAGUAGAAUAGACUACAGUGUAUAUACAUACAAGAUGAGUAAAGCAGUAUGUAAACAUUAUUAGUGACUAGUGUUCCAUUAUUAAAGUGGACAUUUGGUCUCUAGUCAUUGUCAACAGUGCUCAAAGAAUCACACAGAGUUACAAUUCUAUAAAAAGUAUGUUUUUUUGUGUGCAAUAACUUUCCUUAUCAGCUUUCAUGUGUAUGGUAUCCAUUUUAAUGUGCUUUACUAUAGUAUGACAAUAGCUCACUCCUAACUGUUCAGUGUCUGUUUUGAGAAUGCCUAAUCUCAUAAGGGCAGCUACUGCUUUUGUUGGUGUUAAUGUGGUGUCUGUCAUUUUGAUUGAGAAACCGCUGGGGUAUUUCUCUUAGUUUUCUCAAGGCUUUUUCAGAGCAGGAAUAUACUCUGGGGUUUAUUUUUGUUUGCGUUAGAAAAUGCAUAUUGUCUUUUAAAGUUUAGUGUGUGGCCCUUUUUCUAACAGUGGCAUGCCAGUCGGUGUCCCACUCCUCUCCCUCUGGCAGUUCUCAGUGCAAAUCAUGGCCGUACAGUACACACCCAGCCACG